ensembl:lncRNA
AACAGUGCGGCCGGCGGAUUCUACGAAGGAGCGUACCUUGGGCUUGCGGCAACCACAUGUGACGACCCCGGGCUGGACUCCACUUCGUCCACAGUGAAAGCCGAUCUGGUGAUCCACGGUGCAAAGUUGAUGUAUUUCCUCAGCGACCAGCACGGAUCAGCUCCAGGCAUGAGAAAGCAGAUGUCCUCUUUUGGAAGACCAAACAAAGUAGUUUCGCUUUCACAGUGAAACACACAGCGUCUAUACGACAUGUCAGCGGCAACAACAAUACUACAAUGAGAAUAAAAGUUUAGGUCAUUUGUGCCAUUGGUCAGUCAGCCGUCAGCCGAGCGUUAGAUGAGGAGCGUCUCGGGGAAGCUGAGGCUCAGCGAGAGACUCUUGACAUCAGACAGGCGGCUCAGAGCGACGUCUGUUUUCAAUGUGGAAAAGCUGACAUACUGACACACAUUUGGCCUCGGCGCUGUGAGGAUCAGGAGGAAAAGGUGGAUCAGUGCUAAAAGCUAUUUUAUCAGAGUCUUUCCUGUGAAGUACAUUUUCAUGCCUCCAUCAUAUGCAUGUCAGAUAAAAUACAGUCAACUCAAUUGAACGUCAAAAGUUA